rnacentral:tRNA from 1 species
ACGGGCGUAGUCUAAUUGGACAAAACAACGGUCUUCUAAAUCGUACUUUGCGGGUUCGAGUCCCGUCGUCCGUA